rnacentral:rRNA from 1 species
GAUGAACGCUGGCGGCGUGCUUAACACAUGCAAGUCGAACGAAGCACUUUAUUUGAUUUCCUUCGGGACUGAUUAUUUUGUGACUGAGUGGCGGACGGGUGAGUAACGCGUGGGUAACCUGCCUUGUACAGGGGGAUAACAGUUGGAAACGGCUGCUAAUACCGCAUAAGCGCACGGCAUCGCAUGAUUCAGUGUGAAAAACUCCGGUGGUAUAAGAUGGGCCCGCGUUGGAUUAGCUAGGUGGUGAGGUAACGGCCCACCCAGGCGACGAUCCGUAGCCGACCUGAGAGGGUGACCGGGCACAUUAGGAGUGGGACACGGCCCGAACUCCGGCGGGAGGGAGCAAUGGGGAAUAAUGCACACUGGGCGAAUGCAGGAUGCAGCGAGGCCGCAUGAGCGAAGAAGUAUUUCGGUAUGUAAGGCUCUAUCAGCAGGGAAGUUAUGACGGUACCUGAAGAAGAAGCACCGGCUAAAUACGUG